CCGUUUGAUGAAUUCAUAGUCAAACGAGGCGAACCGGGGAAACUGAAACAUCUCAGUACCCCGAGGAAAAGAAAUCAACCGAGAUUCCCCCAGUAGCGGCGAGCGAACGGGGAGCAGCCCAGAGUCAACAUCAAUAUUUACCGCAGGAGAAAGGUCUGGAAAGGCCGGCAAUAAAGGGUGAUAGCCCCGUAUCUGAAGCGGUAAGUGUUGUGAACUCGAAGAGUAGGGCGGGACACGUGUUAUCCUGUCUGAAUAUGGGGGGACCAUCCUCCAAGGCUAAAUACUCCUGACUGACCGAUAGUGAACCAGUACCGUGAGGGAAAGGCGAAAAGAACCCCGGCGAGGGGAGUGAAAUAGAACCUGAAACCGUGUACGUACAAGCAGUAGGAGCACCCGAAAAGGUGUGACUGCGUACCUUUUGUAUAAUGGGUCAGCGACUUAUAUUCUGUAGCAAGGUUAACCGCAUAGGGGAGCCGUAGGGAAACCGAGUCUUAACUGGGCGUUAAGUUGCAGGGUAUAGACCCGAAACCCGGUGAUCUAGCCAUGGGCAGGUUGAAGGUUGGGUAACACUAACUGGAGGACCA
rnacentral:rRNA from 1 species